GACGAACGCUGUCGGCGUGCUUAACACAUGCAAGUCGAACGGAAAGGCCCUGCUUUUGUGGGGUGCUCGAGUGGCGAACGGGUGAGUAACACGUGAGUAACCUGCCCUUGACUUUGGGAUAACUUCAGGAAACUGGGGCUAAUACCGGAUAGGAGCUCCUGCUGCAUGGUGGGGGUUGGAAAGUUUCGGCGGUUGGGGAUGGACUCGCGGCUUAUCAGCUUGUUGGUGGGGUAGUGGCUUACCAAGGCUUUGACGGGUAGCCGGCCUGAGAGGGUGACCGGCCACAUUGGGACUGAGAUACGGCCCAGACUCCUACGGGAGGCAGCAGUGGGGAAUAUUGCACAAUGGGCGGAAGCCUGAUGCAGCAACGCCGCGUGCGGGAUGACGGCCUUCGGGUUGUAAACCGCUUUCGCCUGUGACGAAGCGUGAGUGACGGUAAUGGGUAAAGAAGCACCGGCUAACUACGUGCCAGCAGCCGCGGUGAUACGUAGGGUGCGAGCGUUGUCCGGAUUUAUUGGGCGUAAAGGGCUCGUAGGUGGUUGAUCGCGUCGGAAGUGUAAUCUUGGGGCUUAACCCUGAGCGUGCUUUCGAUACGGGUUGACUUGAGGAAGGUAGGGGAGAAUGGAAUUCCUGGUGGAGCGGUGGAAUGCGCAGAUAUCAGGAGGAACACCAGUGGCGAAGGCGGUUCUCUGGGCCUUUCCUGACGCUGAGGAGCGAAAGCGUGGGGAGCGAACAGGCUUAGAUACCCUGGUAGUCCACGCUGUAAACGGUGGGUACUAGGUGUGGGGUCCAUUCCACGGGUUCCGUGCCGUAGCUAACGCUUUAAGUACCCCGCCUGGGGAGUACGGCCGCAAGGCUAAAACUCAAAGGAAUUGACGGGGCCCCGCACAAGCGGCGGAGCAUGCGGAUUAAUUCGAUGCAACGCGUAGAACCUUACCUGGGUUUGACAUGGAUCGGGAGUGCUCAGAGAUGGGUGUGCCUCUUUUGGGGUCGGUUCACAGGUGGUGCAUGGCUGUCGUCAGCUCGUGUCGUGAGAUGUUGGGUUAAGUCCCGCAACGAGCGCAACCCUUGUUCACUGUUGCCAGCACGUUAUGGUGGGGACUCAGUGGAGACCGCCGGGGUCAACUCGGAGGAAGGUGGGGAUGACGUCAAGUCAUCAUGCCCCUUAUGUCCAGGGCUUCACGCAUGCUACAAUGGCUGGUACAGAGAGUGGCGAGCCUGUGAGGGUGAGCGAAUCUCGGAAAGCCGGUCUCAGUUCGGAUUGGGGUCUGCAACUCGACCUCAUGAAGUCGGAGUCGCUAGUAAUCGCAGAUCAGCAACGCUGCGGUGAAUACGUUCCCAGGGCUU
rnacentral:rRNA from 1 species